rnacentral:lncRNA from 1 species
AUGGAGCAUUGGUACUGGCCUGAGCCACCUGCUCUCAGUAGAUACAUUUUUAGUACAGUGUUUAAGGGAACCCCAGUAGAGACACAGCAAACAGUGAGAGAGGAGAGAGCAAAGCCUUCAGGGAAGUGGCAUGCAGAUCCGUAUUUUAGCAUACCACAAAGUGACAGAGUGGAAGUAAGGGCACUGACUAAUAUUGAUUCUGUUUUGGAAGGUCAGUGCUGGGCCCUCAAAACCUGCAAGAUUCCUUAUGGCUGGUGUCCACAUUCUUUGUCUCUUCUCUCAGUCAUUCCUCUUUGUCUUUGAUUUCGUUCUCAUUUCCUCUUUUUCAAUCUUUCUUUCUCCCUUCUCCUGGGGACUUGAGACUGGCAUCUACACCCAGUUUCUGCAGUGCUGGGGAUAGGACCUGGGGCUUUGUGCGAGCCAAGCAAGCAUUCCACAAUGGAGCCACACAGCCAACUAAGGCCCUCUUCUCUUUUUCUUUCUGCUUCCUUUGCCCUCCCCUUUCUCAUCUUAGACAAUACUAUCCACCUCUCUUUGUCUUUAUCCUGCUGAGUAUCAUUUCCUUAAAACUCCUCUUUCCCUCUAUUUUUGCCCACGUUGUUCUUGCUUAGCAAGAAACAUAGCUAAGCAAAAGAUAAAACAAAACAGUAUAAAAAUGAAGAAACCCCUCAGCUCAUUGUCGACACAGACAUCCUGUUGUAUAGCCCUCCAAAUUUCUGUCUACAAAUGAGCUCUUGGAGAUCUAGGAGGCCUGGCAUGAUGGUAGAGGCCUGCACUCCUGGCAUGUGGAAGAUGGAGGCAAUAGUAGGAUCAGGGGUUCAAGGUCAUCCUGGGCUACACAACAGAGACCCUGUCUCAAAACAACCAGGACUGGAGAGAUGGCCCAGCAGUUAAGAACACUUGCUGCUCUUGCAGAGGACUAAGGUUUGGUUCCCAGCACCCACACAGUGAAUAACAAUGGUCUGUAACUUCCAGUUUCAGGGUUUCAUAUCUAGGCCUUCUGGCUUCUUCAGGCACUGCAUGAAUGUGCUGCAUAUAACGCAUAUGCAAAAGCAAAACACUCAUAAUCAUUUAGUUAAAGAAAACCAUAAAACCAAACUACAACAAAGCCUCCAACCAAACAAACCAAACAAAACCAGAAAACAAACAAGGAGAGACUUGGUAAGUGGAAGCCUCAGUUUGAAAGAGCUGCGUGAUCUUGGUUGAGUCAGUUUCCCCAGGCCUCCCCUAGAAACAAUCCUGGCAAUCCCGGCUGUAACCAAGCACACUGCAAGCUGACUGACUAGAUUUUUCUCUCAAGGAAGCUUUCAGAUGGUCUCCUUCUGCCAACACACAAAGGAUAGACCUGGUUGUUGGGCCCACCCAGCUACCCCUCCCUUCCUCCAGACUCACCCUAGCCUUCUCCACUUUCACCGUUUCUGCAGAGUCUUUGGAAAACUCUACACUCUGGUUUCCCAUCCAUCUGUACCAACAAAUUCAAAAGUGCUGCCCCAGCACUCUCUACAUCCCCAGGGUGUCCCCAGGAACAGGAGGUACAGAGUGGGAAUGUUGUACCACAAUCUACAGCUUGUGGUGCCCACCUAGGGAAGGGGUUGGGAGGCGCCCUCCUGCGGCUGGGGGAUGAUUUUUCUCCUGAAGUUUCUUGGCCAAGUUACCAUGGCCCUGUGCUCAGGCCCCAGGGCCAGGCCUGUGGGUGUGGGCGACCUUGAGGCUCUCAGCAAGGAAGGCUUUCAAGUGGAUGCCAGCUGGACUUGGGUGCGGGUGCUUUCAGCCUGGCAGGGCCAGAGAGAGAGCUGCAGUGAGAAAAACACUGUUGGAGAGCUGCCUGGUGGGAAGGGCAACAAGAGUAAGUAGACCGGCAGGUCCCAGUGCCUGUGCAGGCAGAGAUCGGGAAGGCCAUAAUGUGUGUCACUAUACAAAGGAACAGCCAGCCUAUUUCACCAAAAAGGAGCCACUGAAGAGACAGGAGUGACAAGUCUGCCUAUCAGGGUCUAAAACAGUUUCUGAAGGCUGCCUUGGUCCCCACCCCAGACUCAGAAGCCUAAUCAGGUCAAGCAGGCUCCCUGGCCAGACACAGUGGUAUUGUUCAAAGCCACUACUGUCCCCAUGCUGUCCCCAAUCCCAGCAGAGACCAGAGGUCUUACAAAGGAGGCCCUGAGGGACAGGGCUGGGAGGACAAGGUCCAGAGUCCCAGGGAGGCAAGAGCGCUCACCAGCAGUUCUCUCUCCAGCGGGUUAUUUUUUACCCUAAGCUGCCAGCCCUGGCCAACACGAAGGCUGUUUUUGUUUGCUUAUGGGCACUUGAGCAAACUGCCCUGAAAGGUCAGUCCUGGUCCCAGGCGGCCUGGGACAUGGCAGCCUAUUUGGGAGGUAUGGAGAGAAAGGAAGCUACAGCUCCCCCCAUUCCCACCCCCCAGGCUCAGAUGACUUCACUGGAGCGGGAAAUGAGCAGGCAAGGGGAAGGAGGCUGUUUCUGGAAUACUUUGGCUACCCCAUAACAUUUAAAUAGGGCUGAGGUCAGCAGUUUAUCUGCUUUCCAGAACAUCCCACAGAGGGGUGAGAUCUUAAGCCCUGUGGAAGACCAGGGUGAGCCUUGGUCUGUAGAGAGGUCAGACAGUCACUGCCUGAAGCUUCCUGUCUCCACUCAGCACCUGCCAUGAAGUAGAACUUUGAGGUCUAUUCUAGGCUUUGGACAAACGUUACUAAACAUACAUCUCAUGCCUGUUGCCAAGCCUAGGGGUGGAGCCAGAAGUGGUACAGGGUUCUAUAAAUGAUAACUAGCCUCCAACUUUCUUGGGACUUUCCCAGUUUUGAUCCAGAAUGUAUGAUUUCUGAAGGCUCAGAAAACCCUCUGAACAUACUUGAGAGUUGCUCAUGGACCCUAGAAGCUGUCUGACAGCUCUUGGUCUGGAAGGUACGGAUAAGUGAAGCCAUAUGCCAAGGAGUGUAUGCAGGCAUGGGAAAUGGGAGGAGGCUGAAGUGUUCUUGGAAGGGAGAAGAUGUCUGUCAUCUUACUGGUGGACAGUGGGGACCCUUCUGGAGUUUAGGGAAUGAACUGUGUUGAGGCAUGAUUUAUAUCUGAUGCAUAAAGUAGUCAAUAGAUUCUAAUAAAUGUAUAUAACCACUCA